UACGGAGGGUGCAAGCGUUAAUCGGAAUUACUGGGCGUAAAGCGUGCGCAGGCGGUUGUGCAAGACAGGUGUGAAAUCCCCGGGCUUAACCUGGGAACUGCACUUGUGACUGCACGGCUAGAGUACGGUAGAGGGGGAUGGAAUUCCGCGUGUAGCAGUGAAAUGCGUAGAUAUGCGGAGGAACACCGAUGGCGAAGGCAAUCCCCUGGACCUGUACUGACGCUCAUGCACGAAAGCGUGGGGAGCAAACAGG
rnacentral:rRNA from 1 species